ensembl:lncRNA novel transcript
GGGGGUGCGCCCUGUGACGGAUUUUAGGCUUGAAAAGUCGGGGGCGGGGGAAUGUAACCAGGACUCUCCCAUCCAAGGCAUGCAGACUGGGGAAUGUUUCGGUGUACAAGAGAUGAAAUAGGGAUGGAGUGCCCCCCACGUUCUUUCUGCAAGUGCCUAUUUGUGAGUGUGUGUAUCUGGGAUUUUCAGUGCUUUACCGGGGCUCUUGUGCAGAGUGCACGGUGAAGGCUGCGAGGGUCUCACUCUGUUACCCAGGCUGGAGUGGUGCAAUGGCACAAUCUCAGCUCACUGCAACCCCUGCCACUGCAACCCUUGCCUCCAGGUUCAAGUGCUUCUCUUGCCUCAGCCUUCCAAGUAGCUGGGAUUACAGGCACCUGCCACCACACCUGGCUGAUUUUUGUAUUUUUAACAGAGACGGGGUUUCACCAUGUUGGCCAAGCUGGUCUCAAACUCCUGACCUCAAGUGAUCUGCCUGCCUCAGCCUCCCAAAAUGCUGGGAUUACAGGUGUAAGCCACCAUGCCCAGCCAGGUAUGCAUUUCAUAGUGUAUGAAUCAUACCUCAAAAUUUAUAAAAAUAAAAAAGGAUUUUAAAAAAUGAACAGCCCUUUAGGUAUGGGAGGAGGCGAGGAGUAAGAAAGGUGAAUGGACUCUGCAUUACCACUUGCCGAUCGCUAGAUGUUACCAUGUUACAGUGGAAGGAAUGCAAACAAUAAUUUUUCCCAUUUUUUUUUUUGUUAUGUCCACCAUGUAACCGGACACACAGAAUUUUUUUUUUUUUUUUUUUUUUUUUUUGAGACGAAGUCUCACUCUGUCGCCCAGGCUGGAGUGCAGUGGCGCAUCUCGGCUCACUGCAAGCUCCGUCUCCCACGUUCACGCCAUUCUCCUGCCUCAGCCUCCCGAGUAGCUGGGACUACAGGCGUCUGCCACCAUGCAGCUAAUUUUUUGUAUUUUUUUUUUUAGUAGAGAUGGGGUUUCACCGUGUUAGCCAGGAUGGUCACGAUCUCCUGACCUCGUGAUCCGCCUGCCUCGGCCUCCCAAAGUGCUGGGAUUACCGGCAUGAGCCACCAUUUCCGGCAACAGGCAGACUUUUAACACAUUCCUUACCUAAACUUUUAAAAGGGACAAAAGAUAUAUGCCUUUGGUUUGGGAGAUGACGAAACAUAUGCUUUAAUGACUAUUGGGUUGGAAUCUUCUUGAGAGAGGAUCCUUCUUAGCCUAGACUAGAGUCUUCAAAAGCCCACAGUGCUUCGUAAAGUUUCAUACGUGGAAGAGAGAAGGAUGUUCCACUGGAAAAGCAGAAUUGCAGCUGAGCUGUCCUGAAAUGCCCAGCACUCUGUGGAGACGCGGAGGAGGUUUCCUGGGACAAAGUGCUGAACCAGCUACAGCCACAAGCUGUCUCCACCAUCAGAUGUGGCUUACCUGGUUCCUGAGUCAAUUCCAUCCAGGUAGGAGGAAUCCUAUCAGAAAGUAUGUGAGUGCGUUUGCAGAGUGCAUUCCUGUGGAGCCCCCUUAUCUCUGGCUGCAUCUGCUUCUGCAGGGAGAAAGUAUCCCUGCUGUGAGAGGUCUGGGAUCUGGAGUACAGAGGAUGGUGAAGCCAAGGCCUGAAGACCUUUCCUGCAAGGUCGCAGAGGAAGAGGCAGAAGAAGGACCAGAACCCAGCUCCCCUGACUCCCUAUCCAGUGCUCUUCUCAUAGAUUACAUUGCUUCAGCAUCCACCUGGCUAUUGCUCCAUCCAGGGGUUACAGGAGUCACUGACUGUUUUGGUUGCUUCUUGGUUGGAGGAUGUUGUGCCUCACCGAUGAGAGCCGGAAGCAAAGGUACCAGUUCUUAGAGGAAGCAUAGGAAUGUGUCCCUUCCUGCUCGGGUCUCUCAACUGAACUCAACCCUUCCUUGAUUGAUUGACAAGCAUGUUAUCUCUCAUAAUCCCUGCCCGGUAAGGGCUGAUGUCCCCAUUUUACAGAUGAGGAUAUUGGAGCUCAGAGAAGUGAAAUGAUUGCUGAAGGUCACACAGCCUGGCUUCAAGCCUCUCGGGCUCCAAAAGGCAUCUUCUGUUCUCUCCGUCAGGAAGCCUCUUUUGGAUGAUUAACUGAGAUUAAAAAUGAAAAGACACAUGAAA